CCAAAGCACAAUAAGCCUACUCCUACCACUCCAUGUCCACCACCAAAGUCACCAAAACCAAGACCUCCCUAUGUCCCCAAGCCUCCAGUAAUAGUGCACCCACCCUACGUCCCAAAGCCACCAUAUGUACCAAAACCACCAUAUGUACCUAAGCCACCGGUUGUUAGACCACCAUAUGUACCAAAGCCACCGGUUGUAACUCCACCAUAUGUACCUAAGCCACCGGUUGUUACACCACCAUAUGUACCGAAACCACCGGUUGUAACUCCACCAUAUGUACCAAAGCCACCGGUUGUGACACCACCAUAUGUACCAAAGCCACCGGUUGUGACACCACCAUAUGUACCAAAGCCACCGGUGGUUACACCACCAUAUGUACCGAAACCGCCGGUUGUGACACCGCCAUAUGUACCAAAGCCACCAGUGGUUACACCACCUUAUGUUCCUACACCAUCACCACCAUAUGUACCAAAACCAUCUCCACCAGUUGUGACACCACCUUACACACCAAGGCCGCCCAUUAUUGUUCAUCCUCCGUACGUCCCGUUGCCACCAGUUGUACCCACACCGCCCAUCAUCUCACCUCCUCCAUAUGUACCGACGCCACCGGUGGUUACUCCACCAACGCCACCAAGUGAAACACCGUGUCCGCCACCGCCACCGCCGGCGCAACCAACAUGCCCCAUAGACUCGUUGAAGCUUGGUGCCUGUGUGGACGUUCUUGGCGGACUCAUACACAUCGGAAUCGGAGGAAGUGCUAAACAAACAUGCUGUCCGG
rnacentral:lncRNA from 1 species